AUGGAUUUGCCUGGUACUGAUUGCGGUUGGUCUCCACUAGUGAUGGAAAAAAAUACUACUACACAAUCGGACCAAGACUAGCUGCUGGCAAAUCCCAAAUGAGGUGGCUGAAUUGAAAAAGAAGCAGGAUGGUGAUGUUACAAAAGAUCAUUUAAUGUCAGUUUCAAAUACUAAUGUAUUGUCCGAUAGAGGGUCAGGAAUGGUUACUCUGAAUGCUCCUGCUAUUAAUACUGGUGGUCGUGAUGCUGCUGCUCUUAAACCCUCUAGUCUACAGAACUCGCCAUCGGCUUUGGAUUUGAUCAAGAAGAAAUUGCAGGACUCAGGAACACCUGUUGCUUCCUCUUCUAUUCCUGCCCCAUCUGUACAAACAGGACCUGAAUCAAAUGGUUCAAAAACAGUUGAUUCUACAGCUAAGGGCUUGCAAGUAGAUAAUAACAAAGAUAAAGCAAAAGAUACUAAUGGUGAUGCUAAUGUCUCUGAUACAUCCUCAGAUUCUGAAGAUGAAGAUAAUGGGCCUUCGAAGGAGGAGUGCAUCAUUCAAUUUAAGGAGAUGCUUAAGGAGCGAGGAGUGGCACCAUUCUCAAAGUGGGAGAAAGAAUUGCCAAAGAUAGUAUUUGAUCCACGUUUUAAGGCCAUCCCAAGUUAUUCUGCUAGGAGAUCCUUGUUUGAGCAUUAUGUUAAAACUCGUGCAGAAGAAGAACGUAAAGAAAAACGUGCUGCACUGAAGGCAGCAAUUGAAGGAUUUAAGCGGUUACUGGAUGAAGCCUCAGAAGAUAUUAAUUACAAUACUGAUUAUCAAACUUUCCGGAAGAAAUGGAGAAAUGAUCCACGGUUUGAGGCAUUGGACCGCAAGGAACAAGAGCACCUAUUGAAUGAAAGAGUGCUUCCUUUGAAGAAAGCUGCUGAAGAAAAGGCUCAAGCAAUGCGUGCAGCUGCUGCUGCCAGUUUUAAGUCAAUGCUUAAAGAGCGAGGAGAUAUAUCUUUUAACUCCCGUUGGUCCAGGGUCAAAGAAAAUUUAAGGGAUGACCCAAGAUAUAAAUGUGUGAGGCAUGAGGAUAGGGAAGUUUUGUUCAAUGAGUAUAUAUCUGAACUGAAAGCUGCUGAACAUGCAGCAGAAAGAGAGACCAAAGCUAAAAGGGAGGAGCAGGACAAGCUCAGGGAAAGAGAACGGGAGCUGCGCAAAAGAAAGGAAAGAGAAGAACAGGAAAUGGAAAGGGUGCGACUAAAAAUUCGAAGAAAGGACGCAGUUACUUUAUUUCAAGCUUUACUUGUGGAGACAAUCAAAGACCCUCUGGUAUCAUGGACGGAAUCUAAGCCUAAAUUAGAAAAGGAUGCUCAAAGACGUGCAACUAAUCCUGAUCUUGAUCCAUUGGACACGGAAAAGCUCUUUCGGGAACAUGUCAAGAUGCUUCAGGAACGUUGUGCGCACGAGUUUAGAGUUCUCUUAGCUGAAGUGUUGACUUCUGAUGCUGCAUCUCAAGAAACUGACGAUGGAAAAACAGUGCUUAAUUCUUGGUCUACAGCUAAACGUCUUUUAAAAUCUGAUCCAAGAUAUAACAAAGUUCCAAGAAAAGAAAGAGAAGCAUUGUGGCGCCGCUAUGCUGAGGAUAUGCUGCGGGGGCAAAAGGCAUCUCAUGAUUCCAGGGAAGAGAAACAUACAGAUGCUGAAGGUAGAAAUUAUCUAGAAUCUUCCAAACCUCCAUUUGAAUCUGGGAGAUCGUACGAGCGAAGAUAAUUCUUUUCGAAAUUCUUGUUAUCUCUUCUCUCCUAUGCCAGAGAUUAGGUUUCCUUAGUUUGAAGCCCUGACAUUAGAACAUAAUUAUAUUACCUUUUUUAAGUUCUUAAUACUGUGUUUAGUACAUUACUCUCAUUCCUCAGACCGCAUUUGUAUACUAUUACCAUUCUUGAGAGCAGAAGUAUCAUUGAGGGCAGUGCCCCAUAUCCUUUUUCAAUUCUCAAA